UCUAGAAUGGCAGACCAUUGCAUGGGAUUUAAGCUCCCAACAGGAAGAAUUAUUCUUCUUCUAGAA
rnacentral:tRNA from 1 species